GACGAACGCUGGCGGCGUGCUUAACACAUGCAAGUCGAGCGGUAAGGCCCUUUCGGGGGUACACGAGCGGCGAACGGGUGAGUAACACGUGGGUGACCUGCCCUCAGCUCUGGGAUAAGCCCGGGAAACUGGGUCUAAUACUGGAUAUUACUCUGCGGUGCAUGCCGUGGGGUGGAAAGCCUUGUGCGGCUGGGGGAUGGGCCCGCGGCCUAUCAGCUUGUUGGUGGGGUGAUGGCCACCAAGGCGACGACGGGUAGCCGGCCUGAGAGGGCGACCGGCCACACUGGGACUGAGACACGGCCCAGACUCCUACGGGAGGCAGCAGUGGGGAAUCUUGCGCAAUGGGCGAAAGCCUGACGCAGCGACGCCGCGUGAGGGAUGACGGCCUCGGUGUAAC
rnacentral:rRNA from 1 species